rnacentral:rRNA from 1 species
UUCGUAGGGCGCAAGCGUUGUCCGGAAUUAUUGGGCGUAAAGAGCUCGUAGUCGGCUUGUCACGUCGAUUGUGAAAGCCCGGGGCUUAACUCCGGGUCUGCAGUCGAUACGGGCUAGCUAGAGUGUGGUAGGGGAGAUCGGAAUUCCUGGUGUAGCGGUGAAAUGCGCAGAUAUCAGGAGGAACACCGGUGGCGAAGGCGGAUCUCUGGGCCAUUACUGACGCUGAGGAGCGAAAGCGUGGGGAGCGAACAGG